UACGUAGGGGGCAAGCGUUGUCCGGAAUCAUUGGGCGUAAAGAGCGCGUAGGCGGCCCUGUAAGUCCGCUGGGAAAGUCAAGGGCUCAACCCUUGGAUGCCGGUGGAUACUGCAGGGCUAGAGUCCGGAAGAGGCGAGUGGAAUUCCCGGUGUAGCGGUGAAAUGCGCAGAUAUCGGGAGGAACACCCGUAGCGAAGGCGGCACUCUGGGCCGGUACUGACGCUGAGGAGCGAAAGCCAGGGGAGCAAACGGG
rnacentral:rRNA from 1 species